rnacentral:rRNA from 1 species
AUUGAACGCUGGCGGCAGGCUUAACACAUGCAAGUCGAGCGGAGAUGAGGUGCUUGCACCUUAUCUUAGCGGCGGACGGGUGAGUAAUGCUUAGGAAUCUGCCUAUUAGUGGGGGACAACAUUCCGAAAGGAAUGCUAAUACCGCAUACGUCCUACGGGAGAAAGCAGGGGAUCUUCGGACCUUGCGCUAAUAGAUGAGCCUAAGUCGGAUUAGCUAGUUGGUGGGGUAAAGGCCUACCAAGGCGACGAUCUGUAGCGGGUCUGAGAGGAUGAUCCGCCACACUGGGACUGAGACACGGCCCAGACUCCUACGGGAGGUAGCAGUUGGGAAUAUUGGACAAUGGGGGGAACCCUGAUCCAGCCAUGCCGCGUGUGUGAAGAAGGCCUUAUGGUUGUAAAGCACUUUAAGCGAGGAGGAGGCUACUGAGACUAAUACUCUUGGAUAGUGGACGUUACUCGCAGAAUAAGCACCGGCUAACUCUGUGCCAGCCGCCGCCGUAAUAC